GACGAAGGGGGCUAGCGUUGUUCGGAAUUACUGGGCGUAAAGCGCGUGUAGGCGGUUUUCCAAGUUGGGUGUGAAAGCCUUGGGCUUAACCCAAGAAAUGCACACAGUACUGGAAGACUAGAGGACCGGAGAGGAUAGUGGAAUUCCCAGUGUAGUGGUGAAAUACGUAGAGAUUGGGAAGAACACCAGUGGCGAAGGCGGCUAACGAAACUAUAACUGACACUGAGGCUCGAAAGUGUGGGGAUCAAACAGG
rnacentral:rRNA from 1 species